rnacentral:tRNA from 1 species
AUAAGGUCUAGUGGUUAGGAUUUGGCGCUCUCACCGCCAAGGCCCGGGUUUGAUUCCCGGUGU